rnacentral:misc_RNA from 1 species
GGAAGGAUCAUUCACACGCGUUUGUUCCAUUUUGUGUAACCUCCAAUGACUUCGUGUCAUUGGUCUCUAAUCUGUACUUGCAUUGAGGUAAAAUUCAGAAAGCAAUGCUUUCUUUAUUUUGCUGGUACAGUCAGUUUCUUCACUGAAGAAAUUGAUCAGUGCUUUUUUAUAUUGAUUUGUUUCUGUUUACAGAUAACAUUCAAUACUAUCAGCGAUGGAUGUCUUGGAUCUCGCAACGAUGAAGGACGCAGCAAAAUGUGAUACUCAUUGUGAAUUGCAGAAUUCAGUGAAACAAUAGGUCGCUGAACGCAAACGGCACUACUGGGUUUACCCAGCAGUAGGUUGGUCUCAGCAUCUUAUAAAAUUCAAUUUUUUCUAUGCUGUUGCAGCAAAGAUGAAAUUGAUCAUAAAACUAGCCGCAUAUGAAAGUAUGUGGGUAGUAGAACUGUAUCAAGAUUCAAAUGUUUUAACGCAUCAUAAAACGUUCGUUAAUUAAACACUUGGACUUGAUCUUCUUCUAUUUGGAUCUGAGACUAUACCAGGCUACCCGCUGAAUUUAAGCAUAUAAUUAAGCGGAGGAAAGAAAACUAACAAGGAUUCCCUUAGUAAUGGCGAAUGAACAGGGAAAAGUACAAUCUGAAAAUCAGGUUAACGCCUGAAUUGUAGUUUCAAUUUUCGUUUCCAGGCUAGGCGCAGGGAAAAUUCUCUUGGAAAAGAGUUUCAAAGAGGGUGAGAAUCCCGUACUUACUCUGUAGUCUUGGCCGUACGGAAUCGAUUUAACGAGUCGCGUUCCUUGGGACUGGAGCGCAAAGUGGGUGGUAAAUUUCAUCUAAUGCUCAAUAUCGGCGAGAGACCAAUAGCGAACAAGUACUGUGAAGGAAAGAUGAAAAGAACUUUGGAAAGAGAGUUAAAAGUGCCUGAAAUCGCUGAUAGGUACGUGGAUAAAGUUGGACUUUCUGACAAGGAUCUGGUUCAUGAUGACUUAAGCGCUGUAGUCACCGCAAGGGUCUACAGUGUGGAUGUCUAACUGCUCCAAUUUUCUUGCAGAUUAACCAGCAUCGGUUAACCGCAUAAUAGAAUUUGGCUAGAGUAUUGCUUGCAAUCAACUAGUCACUAUAUUACGCAGUUUUCCGAGGACCACAGCCAGUACACACUUUCGAGCAGUCUGGUUUUGGGAUGCUGGAGAAUCGACUUUAUCCGACCCGUCUUGAAACACGGACCAAGGAGUCUAACAUAUAUGCAAGUAUAUUGGUGGCAAACCAUUAUGCGCAAUGAAGGUGACAGUUGCGAAGUUUGCAGCAACGGCCGACCACAUCAUUCGAUGAGGUUUGAGUGUGAGCAUGUAUGCUAGGACCCGAAAGAUGGUGAACUAUGCCUGAGUAGGGUGAAGCCAGGGGAAACUCUGGUGGAGGCUCGUAGGAAUACUGACGUGCAAAUCGUUUCUCAAACUUGGGUAUAGGGGCGAAAGACUAAUCGAACCAUCUAGUAGCUGGUUCCCUC